AAAUAGCCCUGAUGGGAGCGGUAUCUCUUUUGGGAUGAGGUUAUUUGUGUAACAGAUAAAGUUUCCCAAAAGGAUAAAGCGUACCGCAGGACGGAAC
rnacentral:sRNA from 1 species